CGGCACGUCGGGGUUGCGAACAAUGACGGGUGAGUCCCGCUGCACAGCAGGAACCCUGCGCACAGAGGGCCCAGGGUCCGAGGUCAGGCCAGCAGGCGGGGGCAACAGCAGCAACGGCGAGGGCUGGCGGGAGCGGGAGAAGGGCACGGCGGGUGACACAGCCCGGAAGCCAGCCGGUGUGGAGGGUGUAGGCGUGUGGGACACCGAGUCCACGCCGGAGUCUAGGCUGUCGCUCUUGGGGAAGUCCGGGGUGGCUCCUCCGCCCCCCGCACCAGGUGGGUAG